rnacentral:rRNA from 1 species
UACGGGGGGGGCAAGCGUUGUUCGGAAUUACUGGGCGUAAAGGGCUCGUAGGCGGCCAACUAAGUCAGACGUGAAAUCCCUCGGCUUAACCGGGGAACUGCAUCUGAUACUGGAUGGCUUGAGAUUGGGAGAGGGAUGCGGAAUUCCAGGUGUAGCGGUGAAAUGCGUAGAUACUGGGAGGAACACCAGUGGCGAAGGCGGCUACCUGGACCGGUUCUGACGCUGAGGCGCGAAAGCGUGGGUAGCAAACAGG